rnacentral:rRNA from 1 species
UACGAAGGGGGCUAGCGUUGCUCGGAAUCACUGGGCGUAAGCGCACGUAGGCGGACUCUUAAGUCGGUGGUGAAAUCCUGGAGCUCAACUCCAGAACUGCCUCCGAUACUGGGAGUCUUGAGUCCGGGAGAGGUGAGUGGAACUGCGAGUGUAGAGGUGAAAUUCGUAGAUAUUCGCAAGAACACCAGUGGCGAAGGCGGCUCACUGGCCCGGUACUGACGCUGAGGUGCGAAAGCGUGGGGAGCAAACAGG